AGCAACAACCUAGCAACAACCUAGCGACUGCCUAGCAACACCAAGCACCUGGAACACAAUAGUAACCACCUAGCAACCACCUAGCAACAUCCAAGAAAUCAUCCAAAAUUCCAUAGCAACACCAUAGCAACAUUCUAGCUAAUCACCUGGAACACCACAGCGAAGUUUAGCAGAUGUCGCAUUUUUUAGGGACGGAUAGAAGCACAGCACAAGCUGAGAAAGGAAUAAUCCGCUGUCUGGCGUGUAAGAAGCUCAUGAAGAAGACGAUGCCUUCGAUCUCCAGGAAACUUAGCCAGAUAUUGAAUUCAGCAUGUCGUAAGUUCGUAGAUUUUCAUCGGAAACUGUGCAUGACGAAAGCAUCGGAUUUCCACGACCGCGUGAUGAAAUUUUGGUUCCCUAACAAGUCCCCGGUAGAAGCAUGUAUUAAAGUAAACAUGUGUAAGAAACGUCAGAUAUAUCCCUGAUGCUGCUGGUUCUCGUCCUCAGCUCAUUAAAGAACCUUCAUCACCUUAUCAGGUGUGUUAGAACAGGGAUAUCACAAAACAUUUACACAAAUACACAAAUCCAUGAGCUCUUACUUCCCUCAGUAUAAUAAAGUAAUUCUUCAGCUUGCUAAAUAACUGCGAUUAUAAUAAGAAAGAUUUGAAAAGGAAAUUUUAGAUUAGUGUUAAAUAGUGAACAGGAUGUUUUAAAUGUUUUUAAUCACAUAAAAAAAUCCUUCACUAAAACAGUUAAAGAUGGUUUUCAUCUGAAACCUGCGUUUAACCUACAUCUGUGUGUGUGCGUGGGUGUGUGUGUGUGUGUGUGUGUGUGUGGUGUUAUUAAAACACACUUGAUGCUUGUGGUUGCGUGUGUCACAUCGCUGAUUCUUUCAGAAAAGUCAGACGAACUGAACCGAUGAAUAAUCAUGAUAUCUUUCACACAUUUUCCACAUGAGGAUUGUUCACGUUUUUGUUUUAUAUAGGGGGCAAUUAUAUUUUCACACAAUUCAUUUAUUAAUAUGUAUGUUUAUACAUGUCUUAUAUGGUUUGUUUGUUUUUAUAUGCUUUUGUUUUUACUUAAAUUCUUCACGAUUCAUUUAUUUUCACGUUGAUUUGACACGAUUCAUUUAUUUCACAGGAUUAUUUCCAUGUUAAUUUUUCACGAUUCAUUUAUUUUCACGUGACUUUUUUUUUUUGACAUAAUUCAAUUACUUAAGUGCAACUCUUUCAUAUGAUUCGUUUAUUAACACAAUAAUUUCUCACAUGAUUCAUUCAUGUUCAUUUUUUUCACGAUUCUUUUAUUUUCAUGUUCAUUUUUCACAUGAUUCAAUUACUUUAAUGUAAACUGUCUACACGAUUCAUUUAUUUUAAUGUUACUUUUACGCACGAUUCAUUUAUUUUAAUGUUACUUUUACACACGAUUCAUUUAUUAACACAAUAAUUUUUCACAUGAAUCAUUCAUUUGCACCUACAUUUUCACAUGAUUCAGUUAUUUUAAUGUUCAUUUUUCAUGUUUCAUUUAUGUUCACAUUAAUUUUUCACGAUUCGAUUACUUUAGUGUACAUUUUUCACAAGAUUUGUUUAUUUUCAUGUUGUUUUUUCACACGAUUCAUUUAUUUUCACAUAAAAUUUUCACAUGAUUCAAUUAUCUUAAUGUUCAUUUUUCACAUGAUUCGUUUAUUUUUACAUUCAUUUGUUCCGAUUCGUUUAUUUUCACAUGUUCAUUUUUUAUACGAUUCAUUUAUUAACGUUAAUUUUACCACAUGAUUCAUUCAUUAACACAUUCAUUUUCCCACAUGAUUCAUUUUUGUUCUGUAGACCAUGAGGUUUUAUCUUUCAUGUAAGAUCACAUAUUUUUAUUGGGGCUACUCAAGCCACGAACUCCAUUUCCCAGCCUGCAUGGCGGCCUACUAAAAUGGCCGCCAUGAGCCACUAGAACAAUCACAUAUCGACACGUUCGCCUUCAUUUUAAUCACGCACACCUGCAUCCACUUCUCAGCACUAUCACGGCCACAGUUUAAAAGGACUUUCAGUUCAUUCACACACUGUGAAAUUUAAACGCCAUUCCUUGUGUUUGUGAUGAUGCGAAGUCUGUUUUAUCUCUCUGCUCGUGUUUAUGUUAUUGACCUCCAUUUGCCUGGUGGUUUCUGAGAUCGUCCUGCCUUUCAUAUCUUGUUUGUUCAUCGCCAGACCUUUGACCUGUUUCAUGAUUGUUGAUUUUUUGCCCAUGUUUUGGAUUUGUCUGCUGCAUCUUAAUAAACAUCUCUACCUGCG